rnacentral:rRNA from 1 species
GUCCACGCCGUAAACGAUGGAUGCUAGCUGUGGCGGGAGUUGACCCCUGCCGUGGCGACGCCAACGCAAUAAGCAUCCCGCCUGGGAAGUACGGCCGCAAGGCUAAAACUCAAAGGAAUUGACGGGGGCCCGCACAAGCGGUGGAGCAUGUGGUUUAAUUCGACGCAACGCGCAGAACCUUACCCAGACUUGACAUCUAAGGAACCCCGCAGAAAUGUGGGGGUGCCCGCAAGGGAGCCUUAAGACAGGUGCUGCAUGGCUGUCGU